UGUAGGGUGUGUGUGUGUGUGUGUGUGUGUGUGUGUUUGUGUGGUGUAUGUGCUUACCUAUGGCAUGUGUGCUGGUCCAGACCUGGAGCAAUUUUCAUGUGCUUACAGGGAUGAAGGUAAUGAAUGGCAUUUGAUGAGCUUGACACUGGAAUGAGGGGAAUGGCUUGAAGGCAGCCCCUCUCAUGAUAUGCAGCUGCACAGCCCUGCAUCUGACACCCAAUCUGGUUUGAAAAGGAUGGUUCAGUGGGUUGGAUGCUCUUCCCCAGGUGGACAGGACUGAGACGUGGAGCUCAGUAUGUCACCAUCACAGAGGGGCCACCCGUGCAUCUGAUGCAGCAGACAGGAAGAGACUGACUCAUGAGGAGCAUUGUUCUCAAGUUGCA
rnacentral:lncRNA from 1 species